rnacentral:rRNA from 1 species
AUUGAACGCUGGCGGCAUGCUCUACACAUGCAAGUCGAACGGCAACAGGCCGCUUGGUGCUGUCCAGUUGCGAACGGGCGAGUAAUGCAUCCGAACGUUCCCAGUCGUGGAGGAUAACUACUCGAAAGAGUAGCUGAUACCGCAUACGAUCUAUCGCUUAGAGCGGGGGACCGUAAGGCCUCGCGCGAUUGUAGCGUCCGAUGUCAGAUUAUCUAGUUGGUGGGGUAAAGGCUUACCAAGCCAACGAUCUGUAGCUGGUCUGAGAGGACGAUCAGCCACACUGGGACUGAGACACGGCCCAGACUCCUACGGGAGGCAGCAGUGGGGAAUUUUGGACAAUGGGCGCAAGCCUGAUCCAGCAAUGCCGCGUGUAGGAAGAAGGCCUUCGGGUUGUAAAGUGCUUUUGUUCGGAAAGAAAAGGCUCUGGUUAAUACCCGGGGCUAAUGACGGUACCGUAAGAAUAAGCACCGGCUAACUACGUG